GGAUGUGAGGGCGAUCUGGCUAUGACAUCUGUCACUCCAUUGAUUGCCAGGGUUGAUUUGGCUGAUCUGCUAGGAGGGUGUCCCUUUCCUCCCUCACCGCUCCAUGUACAUCCCUCCUGAAGCUGCGCGAUCAGUCAAAGAGGACGACCAUCCCUGAUAGAGGAGGACCGUUCUUCGGUCAAGGGUAUAUGAGUAGCUGCGCUCCCCUCCUAGAACCUCCAAACAAGUUCUCAAGGUCCAUUUGUAGGAGAAUGUAGGGUAGUCAAGCUUCCAAGACCCCAGACACAUCCAAAUGAGGCGAUGCACAUGGCAGUCUGCCUUUCUUU
rnacentral:snRNA from 1 species